rnacentral:rRNA from 1 species
GACGAACGCUGUCGGCGUGCUUAACACAUGCAAGUCGAACGGAAAGGCCCUGCUUUUGUGGGGUGCUCGAGUGGCGAACGGGUGAGUAACACGUGAGUAACCUGCCCUUGACUUUGGGAUAACCUCAGGAAACUGGGGCUAAUACCGGAUAGGAGCUCCUGCUGCAUGGUGGGGGUUGGAAAGUUUCGGCGGUUGGGGAUGGACUCGCGGCUUAUCAGCUUGUUGGUGGGGUAGUGGCUUACCAAGGCUUUGACGGGUAGCCGGCCUGAGAGGGUGACCGGCCACAUUGGGACUGAGAUACGGCCCAGACUCCUACGGGAGGCAGCAGUGGGGAAUAUUGCACAAUGGGCGGAAGCCUGAUGCAGCAACGCCGCGUGCGGGAUGACGGCCUUCGGGUUGUAAACCGCUUUCGCCUGUGACGAAGCGUGAGUGACGGUAAUGGGUAAAGAAGCACCGGCUAACUACGUGCCAGCAGCCGCGGUGAUACGUAGGGUGCGAGCGUUGUCCGGAUUUAUUGGGCGUAAAGGGCUCGUAGGUGGUUGAUCGCGUCGGAAGUGUAAUCUUGGGGCUUAACCCUGAGCGUGCUUUCGAUACGGGUUGACUUGAGGAAGGUAGGGGAGAAUGGAAUUCCUGGUGGAGCGGUGGAAUGCGCAGAUAUCAGGAGGAACACCAGUGGCGAAGGCGGUUCUCUGGGCCUUUCCUGACGCUGAGGAGCGAAAGCGUGGGGAGCGAACAGGCUUAGAUACCCUGGUAGUCCACGCUGUAAACGGUGGGUACUAGGUGUGGGGUCCAUUCCACGGGUUCCGUGCCGUAGCUAACGCUUUAAGUACCCCGCCUGGGGAGUACGGCCGCAAGGCUAAAACUCAAAGGAAUUGACGGGGCCCCGCACAAGCGGCGGAGCAUGCGGAUUAAUUCGAUGCAACGCGUAGAACCUUACCUGGGUUUGACAUGGAUCGGGAGUGCUCAGAGAUGGGUGUGCCUCUUUUGGGGUCGGUUCACAGGUGGUGCAUGGCUGUCGUCAGCUCGUGUCGUGAGAUGUUGGGUUAAGUCCCGCAACGAGCGCAACCCUUGUUUACUGUUGCCAGCACGUUAUGGUGGGGACUCAGUGGAGACCGCCGGGGUCAACUCGGAGGAAGGUGGGGAUGACGUCAAGUCAUCAUGCCCCUUAUGUCCAGGGCUUCACGCAUGCUACAAUGGCUGGUACAGAGAGUGGCGAGCCUGUGAGGGUGAGCGAAUCUCGGAAAGCCGGUCUCAGUUCGGAUUGGGGUCUGCAACUCGACCUCAUGAAGUCGGAGUCGCUAGUAAUCGCAGAUCAGCAACGCUGCGGUGAAUACGUUCCCGGGGCU